UGUCCUUGGAGUGUGAGGGAGAGCACGCGACUUUGCGAAGGUCGUAGAUCAGGUUCGACUCCUGGCGAGGACAU
rnacentral:tRNA from 1 species